rnacentral:rRNA from 1 species
AUUGAACGCUGGCGGCAGGCCUAACACAUGCAAGUCGCACGAGUGGCGGACGGGUGAGUAAUGUCUGGGAAACUGCCUGAUGGAGGGGGAUAACUACUGGAAACGGUAGCUAAUACCGCAUACCAUCAGAUGUGCCCAGAUGGGAUUAGCUAGUUGGUGGGGUAACGGCUCACCAAGGCGACGAUCCCUAGCUGGUCUGAGAGAAUGACCAGCCACAUUGGGACUGAGACACGGCCCAGAGUCAUACGGGAGGCAGCAGUGGGGAAUAUUGCACAAUGGGCGCAAGCCUGAUGCAGCCAUGCCGCGUGAAUGAAGAAGGCUUUCGGAUUGUAAAGUACUUUCAGCGGGGAGGCGUUACCCGAACAAGAAGCACCGGCUAACUCCGUGCCAGCCGCCGCGGUAAUUC